UGGUGAAACCCCUUAUCCACUAAAAAUACAAAAAAAAAAAAAAAGUCAAGUCUCACAAUACUAAUUGUUGGUGAGGAUCCUGAGCAACAGGAACUCUCCUGUAGGAGAGUAACUUGGUAGUCUACUUUACAUAACUCUUUGGCAUUAUCUUCUAAACCUGAUUAUACAACAAUUUCAUGUAUAUGAAAUAAAAAUUCAUUAUUAGCAUAAAAGCAAUAUUUAUUACAUGCCAAAAUUGGAAACUACUCAAUUAUCUACCAUCAGAAGAAGACAUUUAAAAGUAUAGUAUAGAUCCACUGUGGAAUUCUGCAAAGCAAUUAAAAUGAACAAACAGCAACUUCAGGCAAAAACAUGGAUAAACUCAUUAACAUAUAGUUGUCAUAAGGUUCUAUAAUGGCUUCCCUAGGGGAUCAGCAAAUUGUUUCAGUGGACAGACUCUUUUAGCAAUUCAGAAAUGUCCCAGUGCUGAGAUAGUUUCUAUCCGGAAAGCCAGCUCCAUCUAGGGACAAGGUGUUAGAGGGUUCUAGGGGAAGAGAUACAUAUAGAGGUCACUAAAGGGGUUUGUAGAUGCAAGGUGGACUGUGGGGCCAGGGAAACACUCAGACACUGGCAUAAAGUCCCCAGCAUAAGGAGCAGAGAGCAAGUCUGUAGCUGGGGCUACCAGAAUCUCUCCUGAGGUCUUUAUGCUGGGAUUCACAGGCCUGGCCAUGGAUCAAGAGCAAAUUCUGCUGCAGUGGGAUUCUUGAGCAUCUGGGAAGAAAGGGGCUGCAGAAACAUGUGAGUCCUCCAACUACAGAAUUCAUGGAGGCAGAGGCUCUGGGUGACGUGCUUGGCUUCUUGUCUCUGGCCUGGGGUCAUUGUCACUGAUACUGGUCUUGCUGCUUCUGCUGCUGAGUGUCUUUGGCUCAGUUAUUGUUGAACCACACCAGAACUUGUGCUCAGCUCAGGAUAUGUUCCUGACCCUUCCUUCUUGAAGGGACAGCCGUGUAACCAUUCAACCAUCUGGCCAUCAGUUUCCACAUCUGUGAGAUCAACUUCUGCCUCAUGGAGCCAUGAGUCCCCAAGAUGGAGUGUCACUCUCGUUGCCCAGACUGGAGUGCAAUGG